AUAUAAAGCGGCACACUGCAGGCGGAAGAGUCCUCACUCCUCAGUCUGACGCCGAAGAAACUGAUAAACUAUGUGAGUUUGUGGAAAGACCUGGACGCUUCUGCUGCUGUGAGAUUGGAAUCUGUGACCGUGGCCUGUGGAGGAGCUUCUGCGUUUCUACAACGUGUAAAAAUCAAUACCGUACAAAUGCCGGUUGUGUAAAUCUAUAAAAGUUUUAUGUAAUUCGUGUUUGCUCCUUUUGUUCUAUUAAAUGAGACUUUGAAAACCAU